rnacentral:misc_RNA from 1 species
UUAAGUUCAGCGGGUAGUCCCACCCGAUCUGAGGUCAAAUUGUCAAGUAAGGUUUGUCUGCAAAGAGACGGUUGGUAGCGCUUCACCACUCCCCAACGAUGCUCUUCGAAGGGCACUGCCCUCCAAAGAUACUCCAGUGAAGAUGCUUAUCACACCGGAUGACACCGACAAAGGGGGGUCACACUCCUGCAUUUGAGACG